rnacentral:rRNA from 1 species
GUGGGGAAUAUUGGACAAUGGGCGCAAGCCUGAUCCAGCCAUGCCGCGUGAGUGAUGAAGGCCCUAGGGUUGUAAAGCUCUUUCACCGGUGAAGAUAAUGACGGUAACCGGAGAAGAAGCCCCGGCUAACUUCGUGCCAGCAGCCGCGGUAAUACGAAGGGGGCUAGCGUUGUUCGGAAUUACUGGGCGUAAAGCGCACGUAGGCGGGUAUUUAAGUCAGGGGUGAAAUCCCGGAGCUCAACUCCGGAACUGCCUUUGAUACUGGGUACCUAGAGUAUGGAAGAGGUAAGUGGAAUUCCGAGUGUAGAGGUGAAAUUCGUAGAUAUUCGGAGGAACACCAGUGGCGAAGGCGGCUUACUGGUCCAUUACUGACGCUGAGGUGCGAAAGCGUGGGGAGCAAACAGGAUUAGAAACCCUUGUAGGCC